UCUGGGGGUACUUGGGGGGGCGGGGGCAGGUCUGAUGAGUAACCCCUCCCCCCAGGUUCCAGAGGAAGAAGCCUCCACAUCUGUCUGCCGGCCCAAGAGUUCCAUGGCCUCCACUUCCCGCCGCCAACGCCGAGAACGUCGCUUUCGUCGUUACUUGUCUGCAGGACGGCUGGUCCGGGCCCAGGCCCUCCUCCAGCGACACCCAGGCCUCGAUGUAGAUGCUGGGCAGCCCCCACCACUGCACCGGGCCUGUGCCCGCCACGAUGCCCCUGCCCUGUGCCUGCUGCUUCGGCUCGGGGCUGACCCUGCCCACCAGGACCGCCAUGGGGACACGGCACUGCAUGCUGCUGCCCGCCAGGGCCCAGAUGCCUACACCGAUUUCUUCCUCCCGCUGCUAAGCCGCUGUCCCUCCGCCAUGGGAAUAAAGAAUAAGGAUGGGGAGACCCCUGGCCAAAUUUUGGGCUGGGGACCCCCCUGGGAUUCUGCUGAAGAGGAGGAAGAUGAUGCCUCCAAGGAGCGGGAAUGGAGACAGAAGCUCCAGGGUGAGCUGGAGGACGAGUGGCAGGAAGUCAUGGGGAGGUUUGAAGGUGAGAAGUCCACUGCUAUCCACAGCUGCCCUUCCCCACUGGCUGCUUUCCAUCUGCAUGAAUGCGUCACACUAGGCUUCUCUGCCCCCUCCUCUGUGCUUCCCUGCUUC
rnacentral:sRNA from 1 species